rnacentral:rRNA from 1 species
CGAUCCUAAGACAUAGGGAAACUCCGUUUGAAAGCGCGCCCUCGUGCGCCGUCCGUCGAAAGGGAAGCCGGUUAACAUUCCGGCACCUGGAUGUGGAUUCUCCACGGCAACGUAACUGAACGCGGAGACGUCGGCGGGGGUCCUGGGAAGAGUUAUCUUUUCUUCUUGACGGCCUAUCACCCUGAAAUCGGUUUGUCCGGAGCUAGGGUUCAAUGGCCGGCAGAGCCCCGCACCUUUGCGGGGUCCGGUGCGCCCCCGACGACCCUUGAAAAUCCGCGGGAAGGAAUAGUUUUCACGCCAGGUCGUACUCAUAACCGCAGCAGGUCUCCAAGGUGAAAAGCCUCUAGUUGAUAGA